UUAUUAUGUGUCCUUGAGUGAAUAAUUGCUUCUGCUCUUGACAAUGUUACUGUUCCUAAGUAUGGGCACUACACAUAACAUGCCUGGCAGUAAAUACGUUUUGGCAAGCUCUAUUUAAAUUUUGUAAUAAUUAUUUAACAAUUUCAAACAUCUCUAAUAAAGAUUAAUUUUAACCAGAAUUUCCUCGUUUGGAAUUGGUUCCGGAUUUUCAGUGUUCCUCUGUUCAGCAUUUACAGAGUAUGUUGUACAAUGUAAAAAAUAAAUAUAUAUAUUUAUUUCUUAAUGCAUGUUCAAGAUCAUAUUCAGCACUUAUUUUGAUUAUUUAAUAGUUGCAGUGGAAUGUGCCUGAGACGAUUCCCCACAGCGCCUGCAUAUAUAGUCAGCUUGUGUAAAUGGAAUCUGAAUGCUCACAAGAAAUGACAAAAGCAGUAUGAAAAUUAACACAAAGAAAUUGUGCCAGAAAGUUUGAAGUAUCUUUGGGAAUGAUCAACAUGAACUUGCUGAGUCUUCCUUCUUAAAGUGACUUGACCAGAUAUAUGGCUACCCAGUUUGAGGUACGAACUACUCAUUUGUUGUACGACUUAUUGUUUAUGAGAUUGCCACCAUUUACUGGAACUUUGAAUUUGCUGUCCACUUUAAACCCCUUCUAUCUACAGUUAUCUUUCUGCUAAAUGAAAUAAAAUAUUGUGGAGGAACAUGGAGAAAUGGGCAGCUCAACAUGUUCAAGGUCAAGCAGCUUAUUACCAUAUCCAUAGUAUCUUGCUGCUAAAUGAAAAAAUUAAUGUGGAGGAACAGAGAAAAGGGCACCUGGACAUAAUCAAGGUCAAGCAG